rnacentral:rRNA from 1 species
UACGUAGGGACCAAGCGUUGUUCGGAUUUACUGGGCGUAAAGGGCGCGUAGGCGGCAUGACAAGUCACUUGUGAAAUCUCCGGGCUUAACUCGGAACGGCCAAGUGAAACUGUCAAGCUAGAGUGCAGAAGGGGCAAUCGGAAUUCUUGGUGUAGCGGUGAAAUGCGUAGAUAUCAAGAGGAACACCUGAGGUGAAGACGGGUUGCUGGGCUGAUACUGACGCUGAGGCGCGAAAGCCAGGGGAGCGAACGGG